rnacentral:rRNA from 1 species
AUUGAACGCCGGCGGCAGGCUUAACACAUGCAAGUCGAGCGGGGUGAUGGUGCUUGCACUAUCACUUAGCGGCGGACGGGUGAGUAAUGCUUAGGAAUCUGCCUAUUAGUGGGGGACAACAUCUCGAAAGGGAUGCUAAUACCGCAUACGUCCUACGGGAGAAAGCAGGGGAUCACUUGUGACCUUGCGCUAAUAGAUGAGCCUAAGUCGGAUUAGCUAGUUGGUGGGGUAAAGGCCUACCAAGGCAACGAUCUGUAGCGGGUCUGAGAGGAUGAUCCGCCACACUGGGACUGAGACACGGCCCAGACUCCUACGGGAGGCAGCAGUGGGGAAUAUUGGACAAUGGGGGGAACCCUGAUCCAGCCAUGCCGCGUGUGUGAAGAAGGCCUUAUGGUUGUAAAGCACUUUAAGCGAGGAGGAGGCUCUUUUGGUUAAUACCCAAGAUGAGUGGACGUUACUCGCAGAAUAAGCACCGGCUAACUCUGUGCCAGCCGCCGCGGUAA